GUGACUUUCUUUUUCUCUCCUGUGUGAAAAGGACAUGGACUGUGUCUUCACUGCGCACAGAGCAGAGAUAAGAGAGGUUCUGACGUUCGUUACUGCAGAUUUCCAUCUAAGAGUGUGACGCACGUGGAUAAGCAAGGCUGUACAUGCUGUAUUUACAGUAAGCACAUUCUUUACAAACACAACAGGACAGUUUUUACAUGCACUCCAUCUCAGAAUGCUGUUCUGCAGGUUUUGACUCGUGCAUUUAGAUUUUAACUCACUCUGGAUAUUUCUUGUGUUUUGUUUCAGACGUGUGCUACUAGAAUAUGUCAAACAUUAGAUUAAAAAUGUCAGAAAAGAGUCAGAGAAAGGGAAUAGACUAAGGUGAACAGACAACCCAGAUUUCUGGGGACAGUUCCCGUUUUGGAUGACCUGUCCCCGGCUAACCCACAGGAUCUGGAACCGCUUUGCUCCGGACCGGUAGGGAAAUAUGCAAGCAUAUAGCGCCCACCGGAUCCGAUCUGCCGCCGCUAGUGGUGCGCACAGAGGCAUAUUUUUGUUUUUACUUCAUAUUAGAUUUGCAGUCAUGUAGCCAAUGUUAAAUCCUUCACAUUUGCAUUUUAUUCACUAAAUCUGGCUUUAAAUGUCCAAAACUUUUCGCCGGUGCCAGCAUUUCCACGUCAAUGUGUAUCGGCCUGGCCUGGAUGGAGUCAAACUCUUGGCCUGAAUUAUGGUCCCAGUCCGCCCCUGUACAUGACUGUCGUGGAAGUCACCACAUUGACUCAGAUUAAUAUCCUAAAAACACCACAAAUGCACGCUGAAACAAUGAGCAAGUCUAAGGUGGACUUAGGAAAAGACGAAAAACUGUCCUGGAGUCUAAAAAAAAUUGUAAUUUUGACAUUGACGUUGAAUUUUGCUUCUCAAUUGUUCAUAGGUGCGUUUUGAGUCUGCUCAUAUUUCCUGUAAAACGACAGGUGCACCUUGGCUUUCGAUCUUUUUGCAGCUAAAUCAAAUGGUUGGAUUUUGUACUCUAUGCACAAUGGAUUCAGUUUCAUCCCUCAUAAUAUCUGUUGCUGUUUCUGUUUCUGCAUUUGUUUAAGAGUGCGCAUGAUGGAGAGCUUGCAAGCUGUCCCAAUAUUUGGCACUCACAGGGUUAAGGCAAAGCUUGGAAAAUGAACAAUCUUUACUCCCUUUGUGUGAAUAAAAUUAGACUUUUGCUGCUGUUUGUCUUGCUGUGAAAGGAAAUAUGAAAUAAAUGCACAUUGUGAACUGAUUACAAACUAAGGGACAGGCUGUGUAUUUUUUUCUUUUUGCCAUUAAACUUAUUUAAAUGCUUCCCUUUCUCGAGUUAGCGAGGGCAGUCAUGACUCAAACAUGGUCGCAUGAGCGUUUAAUAACCAUAAUAUUAAUUACAGUCAUAAAUCGCCUGAAUAAUCAUACUAAGUGCUUUUACUGCUUUCAGUAAUUACAUCUAUUUCCUUCAGCAUCUUAACUGUUGGCUGAGUUUUUGUUGGGAAUCAGUAAACCUCGGUCUAAAUGAUGAAAUCUGCCCCGUAGCACAUCUCCAUGUGAAUUCCAAUUCCUGAGUCGGUGCGUUUUCUCUCCGUCCUUUGACUCUGAAGAAAUCCUUUUAUGUUGCAAUUCGUUCAAGAGCGGGGUCUUAUUUUGUAAACUCAAAGAGAAAUUCUUUGCAGAGAAAGAAAAUUGGACACAUCAAAGAACGAGGCUGCGACAUUUAAUCACCAAAUAACUCCUGAGUGCCUUGAAGAUCACAGAUACAUGAUUUAUUGCUGCAUAACAGUCUCUGAGGACAGAUCGGUCCUUUAAGAGCCUUUUAAAAUGUUUUUGUAUUGCUUCUCACUUAAUAAAACCUGCUGGAAAUGGCCAGUGUCGGCGCGCUGAAUGGAUUCAAACAGUUUUUAGGAGUUUCACAAGGUCAGCAGUAGGAGUUAGGACACUUAUACACACACUCACGCUGGAAUCUAUAAAUCCAAGCAUGUCGGCCUUGGUGCAGUAAAACCAGCAGUCUCUCUUUCUGUCUCUUUAUCAUUCCUUACAGAGUCGUCACACACCUCAACACAUUCGUCCUCCAUCCUCUCUUUCUUACCUUCGGCUUCAUUCAGCCUAUCCAGACCUUGGAGAGAAUCGUAAUUGUAUGCAGUCAGAAUGUCUGGGGAAAAAAAGAAAAAGUAUAAGGUGCACUUGAGUCCUUUUUUUUUUCAGAAAUUGUGCUGCAUGCUUCUUGCGAGAUAACCAAGUUGACUUUCUCAAACUUGUUCAAAUAUUUCAGCCGAUGCUUUGUCGGGUAUGAAAACUUUUCCUGCACAAUGACGGCCAUGCAUUUUUUGCUUCAUAAUACAAAGAGUUUGGAGAGUUUUUGACAAGCCUGGAGGUCAUUCAAGUUCUUCAGCUCAAAAAACUGGGGCUGUGUCUACAUGUCAGACUAUUUCUGGGUAUGCAGUCUAGUGUCCCUAAAAAGGAGGCCCAUUUCUUGAGGAUUCUGCACCUCAAAAUCACAGUGCUGCUGCAUAAAGCAAUAUUCUCUGACUUUAAUGGUUAAAUGUGGAGUUUUGCCAUGGCCAAAAUCCUCCAUUACCUAAACCACGACCUGGUUUUCACGCAAAUAUUGCAGAAAUUGGGAAUUAUAAAAUAGCAGCCAUCGGGGGUGAAAAAGCAAAUUCUGAAUAUAUUCAGGGGUUUUGCAAAAAUCCUCCCCUCUUUCCUGUGAAGUUGUAAGAAUGUCAAAGCAUGAAACAUAGAUAAAUCAAAAGUAUUCAAAGAGAUUGGCUUGCUAACUAAAUCGGCUUUUUGCAGUUGGUUGUCAUCCUGCAAUGAGGUGCGAAGGAAAUCAGGGAAGGCUGCAGGGUUGGUUGCAAAUGUAAGAAUGCAGUUGUGUUCAAAUAAGCAUCGAAAUAACCAACUUUAACGCCCCGCUGAAACCACACCCUUUGACCUACUCUCAAUCUUUUUAGAGUAUUUCACCCUUAAUGUGUCAAAAAUGGGCGUACCAAAUUUGGAGAUGAUGAGAUGAAACCUUCAUAUAAAAGUUCACUUUAUCCUGGACCCUUUAAAAAUAAAACCGACUGUUAAAAUCGACUAAUUUUUCUAGAGACCUCCAUACAAUCGGACUUUAUUUCAAAUCCAGUGGCUAUUUAAGUUAAAACAAUACCAAACCCCAAUAUUAGAUGUUAUUCCUUAGAUUUUAUUUCCAUAUUUUGUGUCUACAUUCAGACCAUUCAAAUAUAUAUGACUUGUUAAAACUGGGUGACUUAUUUUAAUGGUUGGCGUGGUUUUGAUUGGGCUUUACCGUCAUGAAAAUCCAGUUUCCCCUCAAGUCUCUCCCCAAGCUGUAAACCUGAACCUAUAAGAGAAGCGGGUCUUUCCCCUAGAGUCCUAUUUCCUUCCAUCCUCAUCAUAUAUCCUCCCUUCCCUCUUGUCCACACUUGUCUGUGUACAGUUUUAUUUUUACAAGGACAUAUACAGCCCGGGUGACAUACUGCCAGCAAUUUCUUGUUGACUUGUAUCUCCGUUGUUGGCCAAAGUGGUGGUGCUCCAGUAACUGUCAGGUAAUAUGGAUUUAAGGUGGUAUUUAUUCUGGAAAACUGUGAUUUUUGUGUGUUUGUAAUACUCGUCCUGCCAGCUGCUUCGUCAAAUACCUGCUGUCGGUAAAAUUGAAGAAGAUGUAGUGCUGCAGGAAAAGAAAAAGAGCGCGUAGGAGAGGUUGAAGGAAGAGUUUAUCUAUGUGUAGAACAUGAUAUUUUCUUCACUUUAAGACUCCGGAGCUGCACUGCUGUCAACAUGAUGGAUAAUGUUUUAGGGCGAGGUCUCCCGGGAGUGAUCUGUUGUCUGUACAAUCAACUGUGGAGAGCCGAGACGGGAGGAGAAAGAGAGAAUGAGAGAAACUGACAGAGGGCAGCAGACAGAACCACUCCUCAUUACAGCCAAAUCCUGCUGGGGGUUCACCAAACUGGGGCGAUUUGAAGUUGAAAGUUUAAAGAAUUUCACUGUCUCCGUCUCGGUAACAAGGAAAGACACGCACACACACACACGCGCAUCUCCAGUCGAUGCACACACUCACUUGGCGCCCUAGCUACGGCCUAUGGGAACUCAUUAUCUUCCCAGACGAGCGGUGCCACAAGUCGCCAGGUCGGUCUCUUGCCACCGUGUCACUUUGGGUUCCAGUGUAUGGGUUGUGGAGACAGUAGGGGUGGGAAGAGGACUGAAAGACAUGGUGACAGUUGACCCAAGGGGGUUUAAAAUGGUCUUUGGGGGCAUCGCUUGGUGUGUUGGUGGAAAGUUUUCUCGAGGGGAGGUUCUAAAAGUGUCAGUCCUGGUAAACAGAAGUACGGCUAGCUGAUUGGAAACAGACCCAAAUGAUUCGCCAGAACCACGACACGCUGUUAAAUCCUUCAACUUAAUCCCCAGUCAGCUUGAAGCCUCAUUUUGAUAUCCUCAAUAGAAGAAUAUUAAAGGCAUGGUUGACGAUCUGAUUCCUCGCUUGGUCACAUUUCCUCUUCGACUCUGCCCUUUUUUCUGUCGGCUUGCGUCUUCUUUCUACUUUUACCCGCUCAGAGCUCCGAGGAGGGCCGGGAGAGUGGGAGGGGACGAGUCGGAACUACGGGAGAGGGGUGUGUCAAACACAGCGAAGUGAUUGGAUGGAGACGCGGAGCGGGAGAUUGAACAUUAGGAGCUGUCUGGGAUGCAAUAUUUUAUUUGAAGGACAGUAGGGGAAAGUCCCGCCUCCUUCGCUUCUGAUUGGCUAGAAAAGCUGGAAACGUCGGCUCUGUACAUCGAACAGAACAUUACAGAACAUUAUCGCACUUCUGAAUCUCCUAACCCGAUAGAUGAUGACAUUUCACAGCCAUUUGGAAUAACCAAUCAGAGCAAAGCACUUCUAGCCAAUCAGAGGCGAAGGCGGGUGGGACCUUCCCCUACCAUCCUCCAAAAAAAAAAAAUCCUGUCCGGGAUGGAUGGCGCCCAUUGGUCAAUGUUUUUGCCAUAGGACCAUGAUCGCCAUGUAAACGAGGUUCGUAAUAAUUACCAAUCCCUCCAAUCGUCAACCAUGCCUUUAAGGGUUAAAUCAGUCCUUCUGAGAAUUUAACCUUUCACCUUUACCGUUCCCUUCGAUAGGACAUCCACCUCAAAUUCCUUGAGAGUCUGGCAGGUAAGUGACAGGUAAACCUGCUAUCUCAGGAGCAGCAGCAGUAAGCGUUAAUGCGCUGACCCUGGAUGGAGGUUAGCAGGUCAUCCACUCACCGCUGCACAGAUGAUCUACGCACCGACUCGCCGAAAUAGGUCGAUGGCAUAAACUAAAUCCAAUAGGAAUAUUGCUUUUCAUUGAUUUUUUAUCCACCUUGGGAUAAUACACAUAUUUCAGCGACCGUGUGUGUGUGUGUGUGUGUGUGUGUGUGUGUGUGUGUGUGUGUGUGUGGGCGCAAAUGCAUAAACACAUGAUGGAUAAAACCACAGAUGAUUGGUCGUUACAGUGUGUGUUGACUAAUGCCUUCAUCAUGGGCGCCAAUGGAAACGUAACUCUUCCCGGACAUAUAGGAGACAUAAUACAGUAUAAGACUAUAACUUAGAGCGAGUGUGUUAUUAUUAGUGUGCCGGGUGCUCGCUCGCCCGCCCGCCCGACCGCUGCAGAGAGAGACAGAGGAGAGUUAUUUGUUAAAUGCCACCACGACUGUACCGGGGUCCUAAUUGGAUUUCCUCUCUCGCUCAAAAUGUCCCCUCGACUUUUAUGGAUAUGACCUCUGAGUCGGUCACAUACACAAGCAGUCUUACACCGGGACACACACACAGAGACACGUAUUUGGCAAAUGUUUGACUUUCGCAUGCAGGAAAAAUACAUUCAAAGACUACAAACGGCGCAUUUUCAAGAGAUGAACUUCAUUUUAAUUUCAUAUUUAGGCUUAGUAUUUGUUUAAGGGUAUCAAUUAAAAUUAGAAAUAAACAAAAUGAAAGUUAAACUACGAUUGAAAAUACAUUAAAUCAAAUCUGACAGCCCCGCGUCUCAAAAAGAGCCAUUCAGGAACCCAUUAGAAUCAGUUCAUUAAAAAGAUUCGUUCAAAAUAUCUGUUCACCGAAUCACCGAAGAUUAAGCGCUUGACGGGAGGAGCCUGUGACUUUCUGAACGGUUCAGGAUUCAGUUCAAUUCAUGGCGUCUGGGACCGGUAGACAAGAGUGUUGUGACUGUGUUGUUUUGACAAACAGAUUUGUAAAAAUUGACUCAUUUAUAAAUCACGAGGUUUUAAGUGGACUGCCCAGUGGUUUGCUAGUUGUCUACUUGGUAAAUUGGGCUCAGUGAGUGAUUCGUUCAUUGAACGUUCAGAAGAAUCCAAACUGAACAUGCACAGUUCCCUCGCAAAUCGCUGCAAUGACAGGAUCAGUCACACAUUUCUCAAACUGCAGGUUUUAUACACGACUUGAUACAUGCUGUGUCCUACUAAAUUUGUUAGAACAACGGGGAACAGUGGUCAUAUAAGUGUAUCCCUCAAACAAAAAUGAUUCCAGAGAGUGGUGUUCACUGCAUGAUUCGUUCACCAAGUGAUUCAGGCCUCGGUGCGUGCAGACCCUCGCUCACCUGACAGCUCAACUGAAGUGAGAAACGAACGAAUCACGACAAAGUAAUUCCGUUCAGUAUGCUCACUUAAAAGAUUUGGUUCUUUUGAAUGAAUCGUUCGCGAACAACACAACACAAAAUGGGAUAAUACAUUCAUGAAUCUCCUGUUCUGGACCUUUCUUAAGCUUUAUCACAAAGUCCAAACAUUGUAACAAUAUAUGUAACAAAAGGAGUUCCACAAGGGUCUAUGUUGGGACCACUGGUAUUCAUUCUUUAUAUGUCUCUCGUCCAAACUUUCACUCUAUGCAGAUGACAGAGUGAUGUACUGCUCUAUAUAGACUUAGCACUUUCACGUCCUCUUCCCUUUCUGGUUCUGAGCGUUAAAACUAAACUUUUUAUACAAUUUCCAACAACUAUUGAUCAGUUUGAGUUUAUAUUUCAUACAGCUCCACUUUAGGGCCAAAACAACGACUCCAACUUCUUUUCUACUCUCCCGUCUGCUUCGUAAAAUGACUCCUGACAUAUACAAAGUGUACUCUGUGCUGGUGAUGUACUGUUAAAAUGUCCUCAAAUCCUCCUCACAAUAUGCGCCUACAAUCUGGCAGGGAAGCAUGUUGUUUGUUCCUUUUUGUUCUUAUGUUUUAUCGCUAUAUGGCACCCGAAACUGCGUGAAAUCUGUGCCACGCACCUUGAACCCGAACUAGGGCAGAGACGCGCGGAAUGAAAUCUGCCUCGCUCUCUCUUUUGCAUACACAAAUAGAGCACCCCUUAUGUACAAAUCCACGACGACAACAACAACAACAACAACAGAAAUAAGAGGAAAAAAAAUCUCAUCUGAUGGAUAUGUUCUGCUGACUUUCAGUGUUUAUUCAUGCUGUUUUACUUGCUCUGCCUCAUCAUUCUGGAAAACAAACCUGUCCGCCUGUUUACAGAUGGCAGAGCUCAGAAUAAUCCUCAUCUACACCCACACGCGCUCGCUCCAUGCAUACCUUUUUUCCCUCUCUUCAACAUUUUCUACUCCUACUUUAAUAACCGCUCGGGCCUCCAAACUCCCACACAUCUGAAUCUAUAUAUUUGCCAUAUGUCUUUUAUCAUUAAAAGCCUGACAACUCGUCUAAAUCCAGAUGCUGGGACUCUGAUUCGUGUCAGAAAGUACACAUGCGAUAGAUCGGUUCAUUUUUUGUAAUUAGAGCUAAUUAAUGCUAACGAGGCUAUCAACGAGGAAUCAUGUGUGUCGGCACUGUUUAAUUACCGUAUGAAUAAAUAGAGCGGGGCGUUAACAUGAAGUCAGCAUAUUGUUAACUGUUUGUGUUUGGCCAACAUAGAUCCAGGAAAUGUGUUCAUUUACAUACAUGAUAAGGGACUCGCCCCGCACGGCUAUUAGCAUGUUAAUGGCGGCGUUUACUACACCGCCAAAAAAGGGGACAAUCAAACCUCUCAGCGGGUGUAAAAAUAAGCCGCCUCUCUGCAGUGAAGCGGGUUUUAUUUAUGAUUUAAAGCAGCUUUGCAUUGGGAAAUUUAGCGACAAUUCAAGGAGGGGGUAUUAAAUGCGCCUAAAUUAAUAAAAUCUCUCCACGGGGUUUUAAUGGCGGCUAUUUUCACCUCGAAUCAUCACUCCUUCUGUCUUUCUCCUUUCUCAAUGUAAGCAAAAAGGCAGAAUGUCACAUUUGAUAUUCACAACAACCUCCUCGCCCAAUCCCCCAGAGUCACCCGGCGCCAGAUGACGAGCAGGCUGCCAGGGGUCACCCGGCGAACCGGUCGCUCUCUACACACCCGCCGGUUCUCUGCGGAAGUGACCUAAUAACUGUGCCAGGCCUUCGCUGCGCCCCUGCCAUCUCUGCCCUCCGCUCGGCGGCCACAGAUCGUGAUCUCGCCCUCGUCGCCUGCCUUCCAGGAUUUCACCCCCCUCCCCCUGCUCAACUCUCAACCCUUCAUCUUCAUCUUCUUCUUCUUCUUCUCCCGCCUCGAGGAAUCCUCAGAUCCGCUCACCAGUUUUACGAGUUGGGAUUUUAUGAGCUUCAUCUACUUAUUUUUCCCCCUCUUCUUCUUCUUUUUCUCCCCGCCUCCUAACAGACGUUUCUCAGCUCAUUUCCAUCGGAUGCCCUACAGGGAAUCGCCGAGCGUAAAGUUGUGUCUCUCCCCAGCCGCCGCUCAACUUCUGCGCCCAUAAAGCAAAAUAAAAACGCGCUUUAGUGAUUUGUCAACUUGUGUCCUCGAGGGAGACGUAAUGUGGAGAUGGGCUAUCCUUGAAAUCCACUGUUUGGAGACGCUGCAUGAGCCAUCUUUCAAAAGUGUUCCUGAACAACUGGUGCGUUUGUUUGAAUGGGUGUGUGCGCCGCAGUGACAAGUGAAAAGAUGGUUCUUCCGCAAUGCGCAGGAAGUUUAAAGUGUAACACAGCCUUUGUCUGUAAUGAUGUGAAAAUGUGCACUAAGGUUUAAAACUUCCAUAACUUAAAUGUCAUGGCCCUGCUGUCUGAAAGAUGGUCUUGGUCUUUUUUUGUCUCCUUUUAUGUAUCCAUGUAAAUUAACAUACAUAAACUAUCAGUAUUGAUAUUAGUAUUGGCAAAAUCAUCACAGAAAGUAUCAGUAUUGCUAUCUGUAUUGUUUACUGUAACUCUGCUACAGAAAAGUGGUAAAAGUAUUGUUUACUGUAUCAGUAUUGAUGUAAAAACUGAAAUCUGUAUCUGUAUCAGUUUUGGUUUUAGGCCAAUAUACUAAAUUAUUAGAACAUGCAUGUGCUCUAACUGUAUAAUUAUCAAUGAAAAAGCUACAAAACUGAUAAGAAAGCAAUAAAAAGUAUUGGUACUGGAAUCAGUUCUGGUUGAAUUGAGGUAUCGGUUUAGAAAUAUCAGUGUGUAUUGCUUUCUUGUGUAUGUAUAAGAGAUACGAAAAUGAUAAAAUAAAAAAAAAUUAAAAAAGUUUCAGUGCUGGAACAUGUAACUGUAUGAGUAUCAGUGUCUGUUGAAUUGCUGCAAAAAUAUUGGUGUCAGUACAAAUAUUAGAAAAUAUGCAACAAAAGUAUCAGCAUCUGUGAAAUUACUACAAAAACAGAGGAUGUUUUGGUAAUUUUAACUAUAUCAGUAUCUAUGAAAAGCAAGAAAAGUAUUGGUAUCCGUUUAAGUAUGGGUCUAGGUAAAAGUAGUGCAAUCUGUAUUCAUCUUUAUAACUCAGAGAAAGAGUAUCAGUGUCAGUAAACAGAUACAAAAAUUUUGGUAUCGGCCUCAGUAUCUGUACUCAUAUUGCUGCAAUAGUAUUGGUUUAGGUCAAUAUACUUAAUAAGUAUCAGAACAUGCAUGUACUCUAAUUGUAUAAGUAUCAAUGAAAAAGCUAUAAAACUAUUAAGAUAGCCAUAAAAAGUAUUGGUAUUGGUAUCUGUAUCAGUUCUGGUUGAACUGAAGUAUCGGUUUUGUAAUAUUAGUACUGUAUUGCUAUCUGAAUAAAAGAUACAAAAGUGACGAAAUUGGUAUUUGUAUUCAUACUGGUAAAAUAGUUCCACAAAAUGAAGUUUCAAUGCUGGUACAUGUAUCGGUAUGAGUAUCAGGGUCUGUUAAGUUGCUGCAAAAGUAUCGAUGUUCCUACAAAUAUUAGAAAAAAAUGCAAUAAAAGUAUCAGCAUAUGUGAAAUUACUACAAAAAAGAGGAUGUUUUGUUCAUUUUAACUAUAUCAGUAUCUAUUGAAUAGCCACAGAAAGUAUUGGUAUCCGUUUAUAAAGUAAAAUAAGUAUGGGUCUAGGUAAAAGUAGUACUAUCCGUAUAUUCAUCUUCAUAACUCAUAGAAAGAGCUUCAGUAUCAGUAAACAGAUACAAAAAUGAUGAAACUGGAUUUUGUAUCUGUAUUUGUAUUCUGAGUAUCAGUAUCAGUAAACAGAUACAAAAAUGUUGGUAUCGGCUUUAGUAUCUGUUCUCAUAUUGAUGCAAUAGUUACAAAUAAUAAGGUAUCAGUGUUUGUAUAAGUAUAGGCAUUAGUAUCAGUUUCAGUUAAAGUGCUGUAAAAGUACCGAUAUUGGUAAAUUUACUGUUAUAAAAGCACCAGCAUUGUUAUCUGUAUUGGUAUCUCUAUAAUUGGCUAAAAUAUACCAGUAACUGAAGAAUUGCAUCAGAAUCACUGGUACAGAUAUCUGCUAUUGGUUAAAUUGCCACAAACAGUAUCAACACCAGUGUUAGUAUCGGUAACUGUAUCAGUAUUGGUAUCUGUAUCAGUACCAGUACAAUUGUAUUCUGUACUUCCAAAAGCUGGUGUCACACAUGUCUCUUGUGUAAAUAGGAUUUGCAAACCUGAUAUCUACGGUGAGCUCAAUAUCUGUCAAGCCCGUUUUAUGCACUUUUUAUUAUUGCUGUACUGUUUUUUAAAAUGUAGUUUCUCCUCUCUCUGAAACAUCACUCUUUAUUUUAUUUGGACCUUUUGGUUCCCUGUGAUAGGUCACUUCAAGUUCUCACUUCUGUGCCAAAAAAUCAGAGUCCCACUUUGUCCCUCUCAUCUAAAAUCAAGCCGCCCUCACUGCUGCACUUCAUCUCCUUUGUCACUCAGACAUGACUCCCCCUCACUCCUCCAUUGUUCCUCUCCUCUUCCUCGACCCUCUCUUAACAUACACCCGGAUGAACGACAGCUCCUCGUGACCUCCCGUUAUCUCCCAUCCAUUCCUGCUUCCCGGCCCCGCCUUCGCAUUCACACCCUUCCCAUUACCGUCAGUCGCCCCGCCACGUGCUGACCCCCUCCUUUUACCGUCCCUUACCGCUCGGACGGGUGGCAACAAUAGAGACAGGAGAGCCAAAAUGGCAGCCGCCCGCCCCUGUCUGGGGCGUCCCCUGAGGGGCCGGUCGCGUAUCUCCGCAGCCAAUCUUAAUGCGCGUCUUCCGCAACAAAUUGGCCAGUUUACUUAAGAGUCUGCUGUGGCCCAUGAAUAUUUGAUGUGGUCAGGGCUGCGGAGAGGUGGGAUACAAUGACAGGGGCUUAUCUUAUUUAGCCAGACAGAGGGGGUCGGAUCCUGGCCCGACCCGGAGUACUCCAAAGCUCUUCUGGGAUCUGGAAGAGCCCGAUCCAGGAGAAGAGUCUGAAAACAUCUUUUUGUCCCA
rnacentral:lncRNA from 1 species